GUGGGGAAUCUUCCGCAAUGGACGAAAGUCUGACGGAGCAACGCCGCGUGAGUGAAGAAGGUUUUCGGAUCGUAAAGCUCUUUCGUUAGGGACGAACGUGCUCUUUGUGAAUAAUGAGGAGUAAUGACGGUACCUAAAUAAGAAGCCACGGCUAACUACGUGCCAGCAGCCGCGGUAAUACGUGGGUGGCAAGCGUUGUCCGGAAUUAUUGGGCGUAAAGCGCGCGCAGGCGGGAUAUCAAGUCUGUCUUAAAAGUGCGAGGCUCAACCUCGUGAGGGGACAGAAACUGGUAUUCUUGAGUGUCGGAGAGGAAAGUGGAAUUCCAAGUGUAGCGGUGAAAUGCGUAGAGAUUUGGAAGAACACCAGUGGCGAAGGCGACUUUCUGGACGAUGUCUGACGCUGAGGCGCGAAAGCUAGGGGAGCGAACGGGAUUAGAAACCCUUGUAGUCC
rnacentral:rRNA from 1 species